rnacentral:rRNA from 1 species
UACGGGGGGGGCAAGCGUUGUUCGGAAUUACUGGGCGUAAAGGGCUCGUAGGCGGCCAACUAAGUCGGACGUGAAAUCCCUCAGCUUAACUGGGGAACUGCGUCCGAUACUGGAUGGCUUGGAUUUGGGAGAGGGAUGCGGAAUUCCAGGUGUAGCGGUGAAAUGCGUAGAGAUGUGGAGGAACACCAGUGGCGAAGGCGACUCUUUGGCCUGUAACUGACGCUGAGGCGCGAAAGCGUGGGGAGCAAACAGG